UUCUCACCUGUAAAAUGAGUGAGUGCAUAAGGUCUUAUAUUACAAGCUGGAAGGGACUUUAGAGGUUAUCAACCAUACACAGUUGGGAAAUUCAUUUGAGGAGGGAAGAGGAAGAAAUAUGCUCAGAAAUGAAGUUAUGUAUAAACAUCAAUGCAAUUUUUAAAAUAGAAGAAUUAAAGAGAAAGCAAAAAUAACAAAGUCACUUCAAAGCAUGAGAUUCAGCUUUGGGAGAGAAGAUGAGCAAUGUUGACUUUCUUCAGGUCACUGAUGGGAGACAACGACUCUGGGAAGAAUAGAUAGAUACAUUUGGUUUAUUCAAAUGGCCAACCAAUGAUUCCUUUUCCAUUUCCUAGCUAUAAAAUUAUAUAAAAUCAGAGAUGGGUGUAAACUUAAA